GUCCCUUUCCAGUUCAUGUGCAUGAUGAUUCAGUGUUCACACAUUUGUGUGACAUGUGCCUCCCUUAAAUCUUGUUCCGCAUUUGGCACAUUACUUAUCUGAUG